rnacentral:lncRNA from 1 species
GUAGUUUGACUACGCACCAACUAGCAUGGCUAUUGAAGAUCCUUUAUUCCCUCUGUACUGGAGUAUGUAGCACAUAAUGUACUGUUCUAGCAUUGUAGUCAGUUUUAUGUUAUAUUGUGUAGUUUAGAUAGUGAAUGAUGAAGUCCGCAUUUAGCUUAGCAAUGACCAUAAUAGUUUCUAUUCUUUCCAAGGUCAUGUUCAUCCAACUUUAGUAAGCGCUUCAAGACAGAUAUCCAGCUGAUGGUGCAAAUGACUUAUUAAGUCGGAUAUCUAGGAAAUCGGAUAAGUUUCAUGCGAUGCCUCUUCUGACCGUAGGUCUUAGAGUAGGAUGGCAAGAAACUUUUUCUUAUUGCACCUAAGGUUAGCGAUGUGUUGCGACAUCAGACUUCACAAUCCAAGUACCUUUCCUGUGUUUUAUGGUUUAGUAUUUCAAGUUUGGCUAAAGCAACCUAAGUAGAGUUUGAUAACCAGCACUCUAUGUUGACUUGUGCACGAAGAAGCUAGGUUUUUUUUUAAAAGGAGGAAGACCCCCGGCCUCUGCAUCUGAGCGAUGCUGCCAUUUUAUUAAUUAUUCACAAAGACCUUACAAAGUAAUACUACAUCAGUAAGACUGAAGCCACC